rnacentral:lncRNA from 1 species
UUUAAUUCUAACACAAAAUAUAGAAUUAAUUCACUUUUUGUAAUUUUAAUAAAUUCUUUUAUACAAUUAGGAAUAUAUAUAUAUAUAUAUAUAUAUAUGUGUAUUUAUAUUUUUCUCUUUAUUUUUUUUUUAUUUAAUACAAAAUAUACAAUUAAAAUUAGAUUACUUAAUAGAAUUUUUUAGUAAAAUAUAAUUCCCUUUUUCAAUGAACAAAGGAAGAAAAAAAAAAAAUUAGACAGGUAAGGAAGAAAAAAAUAAAACAAAUUAAUGUAUAAAAAAGUUGACAUAUGAACAAAUGGAUAUGCAUAUGAAUGUAUAAAAAAAAUUAAACUUAUAAAUAAAUAUACUAAAAAAAAAUAGACUUACAAAAAAAUGCAUAAAAUAGACUUACAAAAAAAUGNNNNNNNNNNUUACAAAAAAAUGCAUAAAAUAGACUUACAAAAAAAUGCAUAAAAUAAACAUACGAUUAAGCAACUUAUUAGUUGAAAAAAGUAAAAAAAAAAAAUGAACUUUAAAAAAAAAUUAUAAAAGAAAAACCAACAUUAUAUUUUUUCUACAAGUGAAUUCUAUCAUAUACUAAAAGCGACAACAUUUACAUACAUACAUAAAAAUAUAAAUGUAUAUAUAUAUAUAUAUAUAUACAUGUUUAUGUGAAUUUACAAAUUAAUAAAAAUAUAUGUGCACACAGAUAUAUUUUUUUUUUACUUAAUAUAAAAAUAUGUACAUAUAUAUAUGUACAUAUAUAUAUAUAUAUAUAUACACAUUAUUAAAGUAAAAAAAAAUGUAACAGCAUCACAUGCACGUAUAAAAUCAUUGGAUUUACCAUAUGAAGCCUAACAAUUUUUUUUGAUAUUUUUAUUACAUUUAUUCAUAAAAUGUUAUACACAAAAUUAGACAGUAUUGUUUUAUGUUUUUUACAUUUUUCAAAAUGCAUACAUGUGCACUAUGUUUUUACAUCCUAUUUUUUUUUUUUUUUUUUUUUUUUUUUUUUUUUUUUUUUUUUUUUUUUUUUUUUUUUUUUUUUUUUUUUUUUUUUUUUUUUUCAUUUUGGUUUUUAUUAUUAACAGGUUGUACAUACUCUUUUAUUGUACCAUUAGGUAAAUUAAUAUCAAUACCAAAUAUUAAAUUAUUUUUUUCAAUAAUACUAUUCCAUAUACUCAUAUUUCUACAACUUAAUUCAUGUCCGGCAAGACCUAAUAUACCAUCCGUAUCUUGAAACAGGCUCCAAUUUUUAUAAAAAGUUAAAUCGACUACUAGUUUUAUGUCUGCAUUAUUAAAAAAGGCGUCCCUAACACUUGCAUUACUUCCUUCUACAAUUCUUUCAUUACUUCUUUCGUUGUUGCUUUCGGUACCUCUUUCGUUGUUGCUUUCGGUACNNNNNNNNNNUCUUUCGUUGUUGCUUUCGGUACCUCUUUCGUUGUUGCUUUCGGUACCUCUUUCGUUGUUGCUUUUAGUACCUCUUUCGUUAGUGUUCACCAAAUCCAAUAAUUGAACAUCAUCUAAGCCUUCUAUAUGACUUUCAGUAUAUCGUAGCGAGUCGAAGUAUAUAUUAGGAUACUCGGCUUUAUUUUCGAAUAUUAAAUUUUUACUACUGUAACAUUCAUAUGGUUUUGAUAAAAUUGGAGGUAAACAAAGAUUGUUAUUAUUGCACCAUAAAGCUUGUUUUGAAAUAAUAGGAUUGUAACAAUAACUGUUACCAUUAUCGUCUUGUUUUCUAAGACAAGCAUUAGAUCCUUUCAUAAAUACAUAAGUACCUUCUAAUCUACUAUUUAAAGAUAAUUUUAACAAUUGGUCACCUACUUUAACAUUAGUAUAUAAAUUAUUAUUGUUUGUAAAAUGUAAGUUUAAAAUUAAACCAUUAUAUUCAUCAUUUGAGUUGUUUGGUUCAUUUGAUUUAUUGUCAGUAGAAAUUAUUUUUUUUUUCAUAUGUAUUAGAAGAUGGAAUAACAUUUUUUGUUUCGUUAUUUCCGAUAAUAUUAUUAAAAUUUGUAUCAUCAGAACUAAUAUGUUUUAUAUCUUCAUUUAAAUUAGUAUUGGAUGAUUCAGCUUCUUUUUCGAAUUUAUUUAUUUUGCUUUUAUUAUUAACAUCUGUCAGACUAUCAUAAGUAAUAGAACUAUCAGUAAUGGAACUAUCAGUAAUGG